AGCUCCAAUAGCGUAUAUUAAAGUUGUUGCGGUUAAAACGCUCGUAGUUGGGUUUCUGUUGGGAACAACAUGUCUGCCCAAGUGGUGAGAACUUGUAAUGUUCCUAGCAUCUUCUUGAGGAACAAACGCACACUUUAUUGUGUGGUUUGCAAAUCAGGGCUUUUACUUUGAGGAAAUGAGAGUGCUUCAAGCGGGUGACUGCCACGAAUAUGUUAGCAUGGAAUAAUAGUAUUGGACUUCGGAUCAUAGCUGUUGGUUGCUAGGACCGGAGUGAGGAUAAACAGGGACAGUUGGGGGCAUUCGUAUUUAACUGUCAGAGGUGAAAUUCUUGGAUUUGUUAAAGACGAACUACUGCGAAAGCAUUUGCCAAGGAUGUUUUCA
rnacentral:rRNA from 1 species